UCCUCGCUUUUCUCAGAAUUCUUGGGUUUUGUUUCUCAUUCUCUUGCUGUCGGUCUCAACACCAAAACAGCUAAACUGUUUUCAUCUUCACAGACUCUGUAUGUGUACGUGUGUGUGUGUGUUAUCCUUCUUUCUGGAAAGGGACAAGGUGUAUUGAGGAAAGCUCAGACUUUCAAAAAUCUGUGUCUCUAAAGUUACUAAGAGAACUCGCUGAAACAGAAAUCUGAGAAAUGCAGACCAGCUGGCCCCAAGUAAACGCACAGUCUUGUGGCAGAGUGAUGUGUGGUUUAACACAACCAGGGAAGUCAGAAAGAGCUAAAGAGGCUUUCCCACAGGGGCUGGUGCAAUCCAGGGAUUAGUAAAGGGGGGAGAUGGGAGGGAAUUUUUAUCUGUGAUCUAGAGACCUCUUAGUGGAGAUUCUUUUUCUCAGUGAGAGAACUAUAGACCAUCACUGCCUAGGCAAAGGCUUAGAAGACUGUCUGGUUCUGAAGUCUUCAUGUUACUGAUGAGGAAUGUGUGAUCAGAAAGGGUAGAGGACUUGCUGACAGCAGACCAAGUUCGAGAUUCAGCUUUCGUUGCAGCUUUCCCCACCUUCUUUCCCUGGCUGCAUGGUGAGCUGGGGAUGCUAUGCUUCUCUGCAGGAGUAUCUUCCAAAAGUCAAGAUUUGAGAAAAUAAGAGCUGCCCAGGUCAGAGUUUGGUAACAAAUCUCCUGUUGAAUGUUCAGAAGAGGCUCUAGAUAUGCAGAUGACAUCACCCUCAUGGCAGAAAGUGAAG